GGGCGAUUAGCUCAGUUGGUUAGAGCACCUGCCUUACAAGCAGGGGGUCAUAG
rnacentral:tRNA from 1 species